GCCCGGGUGGCGGAAUGGUAGACGCAAGGGACUUAAAAUCCCUCGGUAAUUUUUACUGUACCGGUUCAAGUCCGGUCCCGGGCA
rnacentral:tRNA from 1 species